UCCAGAACACGCUUUACUCUUUCUCUAAAAGGUAUUUUACUCUUUCUCUAGAAGAUAAAUCGAAGAGCUCAACUGAUGAUGGAUGAAUUAAGCUGAUAAUAGAAGAGUUAAGCUGAAGAUCGAAGAAUUGUGUUGAAGAUUUCUUCGAUACCUGCGAUUCUCUUCUCCAGAAAAAGAUUAUUUUGAAGAGUUGAAGAUAGAGAUAAAGAUCGAAGAACAUAAGAGGGAAAGCUGAAGAAAUAAGAGCUGAGCUAAAUUUUUCUCCAAUACGAAUUUCUUUAAGGGAAUCGAUUACUUUGGGGUUUUAAAGCUUAAGUUCUAAAGUAGGGAAGAAAGUCUCGAAAAUCAUGUACGUCAAGGUGAUCCCAAGGCAUAUCAGCAAACGAGAAAGAGGAAAUUACUACUCGAAAACAUCUGAGAUGAAUCCGACAAGGUGUUUACCCGCAGUUUUAAAGAUAAGAUAUCUUCCACCAGAGCUUCAAGAUGUUUUCACAUACUUGAGAAGAGAUUAUUAUCAAUGGUUCCUCAACCAAUUCAAUUUAAAUCGAAAGACCUCUUCAAACAACUAUAUUUCAAAUGUUUAUAGCUGAAUCAGCACAAAGAGAAACAAAGAAAAUAGCAUCAGCUCAUGUUCUAAAGUUCUUUUUCACCACUUUUUGCUUAAAUUCAAUCAAAUGUUGGAAUUAGAGCAUGAAUGAAGCAAGGAGCUCAAAUAUAUGGAGAAUCGUGUGACUGAUGAAGACUUCUUGAACAAUUUUUAUUAAUUUUAUUUUGGUUUUGUGAAAUUAAUUACAAAUAUAUAUAUUGUAAUAUUGAUUUUUAGUAAUUGUAUUCGAGUCAAUAUACUUUUCAUA